UGCCCUACGGGACGCAGCAGUAGGGAAUCUUCCACAAUGGACGAAAGUCUGAUGGAGCAACGCCGCGUGAGUGAAGAAGGGUUUCGGCUCGUAAAGCUCUGUUGGUAGGGAAGAAAGAUAGAGGUAGUAACUGGCCUUUAUUUGACGGUAAUUACUUAGAAAGUCACGGCUAACUACGUGCCAGCAGCCGCGGUAAUACGUAGGGGGCAAGCGUUUUCCGGAUUUAUUGGGCGUAAAGCGAGUGCAGGCGGUUUAAUUAGUCUUGUGUGGAA
rnacentral:rRNA from 1 species